rnacentral:misc_RNA from 1 species
UUUUCGAGCGUGGCGGGGUGGCGGCGUCGUGCCACUACUGCAAGUAGAGUGUACUAGAGCGAAGUAAACCGCGAAGCGGUGCUGGAGUGUAGCAGUGCGAAGAAUACAAAGUUGACUGAUUGUUAAUCGUUGCAGAAGUCAGCAUGACUGUAGCGAUCGGCUUCGAAGGGAGCGCGAACAAGUUGGGAGUUGGUAUAAUACGCGAUGGCGAGGUUCUGUCAAAUCCCCGAGUAACUUACAUUACUCCACCAGGUGAAGGGUUUCAGCCGAAAGACACAGCUCUGCACCACCGAGCACACGUUUUAGACGUUCUUGAGAAAGCACUCCAAGAAGCAAACGUCACGCCAAAUGAAAUCGACGUUGUAUGCUACACUAAAGGACCCGGUAUGGGAGCUCCUCUGGUAUCUGUUGCCGUGGUUGCAAGAACAGUUGCACAGCUAUGGAACAAGCCAAUUAUAGGUGUCAACCACUGCAUUGGUCACAUCGAAAUGGGGCGCCUAAUUACUGGAGCUUCUAACCCAGCUGUACUAUACGUGAGCGGUGGCAACACUCAGAUAAUAGCAUACAGUGAGAAGUGCUAUAGGAUUUUUGGAGAGACCAUUGACAUUGCUGUUGGAAAUUGCCUGGACAGGUUUGCAAGAGUCCUGAAACUCUCGAAUGAUCCAAGUCCUGGCUACAACAUAGAGCAAAUGGCAAAAAAGGGCACCAAACUGGUUCCACUCCCGUAUGUUGUCAAAGGCAUGGACGUCUCAUUUUCAGGAUUGCUCUCCUUCAUUGAGGAGAAAGCGGAGUCUCUUUUAAGUGAGGGUCAGUGCACAGCUGAAGACCUGUGUUUUUCUUUACAAGAGACCGUCUUUGCAAUGCUUGUUGAAACUACAGAAAGGGCCAUGGCUCACACUGGUUCUGAUGAAGUACUCAUUGUUGGUGGAGUUGGCUGUAAUAAGAGACUACAGGAAAUGAUGGGAAUCAUGGCUCAAGAACGCAAUGCCAAAUUAUUUGCCACGGAUGAGAGACGCACAAAUUUUGUGCAGAUUUUGCAUCGAUAAUGGAGCAAUGAUUGCUCAAGCUGGUUGGGAAAUGUUUCGAUCGGGCCAAGUAACCCCCUUUGAAGAAACGACCUGCACACAACGGUAUCGAACUGAUGAAGUUGAGGUGUCAUGGAGAGACUGAGUUUAUCUUGUAUGAUAGGUACUUUGAAAGCCUUGUUUUAAUAAACACAAACUGUUUACUACAGAA